UAGGGAAUCUUCCACAAUGGGCGAAAGCCUGACGGAGCAACGCCGCGUGUGUGAUGAAGGGUUUCGGCUCGUAAAACACUGUUGUAAGAGAAGAAUGACAUUGAGAGUAACUGUUCAAUGUGUGACGGUAUCUUACCAGAAAGGAACGGCUAAAUACGUACCAG
rnacentral:rRNA from 1 species